GGAGCAAUAGCUCAGUUGUAGAGCAUCUGUUUUGUGCACAGAAGGUUUCAGGUUAAAUUUCCUAUCUCCA